GCCGGGAGCCGGGAGCGGGGAGCCGGGAGCGGAGAGCCGGGAGCCGGGAGCGGGGAGCCGAGAGCCUAGAGCCGGGAGCCGAGAGCCGAGAGCCGGGAGCCGGGAGCCGAGAGCCGGGAGCCGGGAGCGCACCCACCGCUAGACCGGGUCGAACUCAGCGGCACCGAGACGUCCUUCACCCGGGCCCGGAGAGAGGAGCUCCAGGGCGGGAACAUAUGAAGCGAGCAUCCUGCCUCCUGAGUGCUGGUCGUCGUCGGAGGACUCCAGAGCAGUUGCUCCGUCUGAAAGGAGUAAAGCAUUUCAUCGAAGCUUGAAACAAUUCUUAUAGUCAUGAUGAACCCCACCUUUAGAAACAUGUCCCUCAUCAACGGAUCUAUUGACCCGCGUGGUGUCUGCUGCACCUGCUGUGCACCGCUGGAGAAAUGGAGCGCUCGCCGAGCGGUGUCCGGGCGGGUCGCGGCGGUGUGGUGAGACGGCGGCGGCGUCUGGAAGUCUGCGGAGGAACACUGGCUUUGGUGAAACUGAUUAUCUCUCUGUAUCACCGUGUCGUGUGCGGCCGCAGGAUGGACGUGGACGGUGAGGGUCUGUGACACCGGCAGGAAGAGGGGCUGUCGCAGAAAGGUCAAAGGUCAGAUCAUAUCAUACACUCCUGAUCUCUCAAUAAUCCAGUUACAGUAACUUUAUGAUCCAGAAGUCAUUCUGAAAUACUGGACCACAAGUUCUACGUCUUUUGCACAACAGAAGUUUUGCUGGUUACAACAAAUAAGACCAAGAAAUACAUAUAUACUGUAUAUAUAGUCAUUUUCAACAGUAGUGUGCAACUCUUUUUUCCCCCAUGUGAUAAAUGCACUGUACCUCUGCAGCGGUGUUGAAAUCGAGUGCUCGGCGAGUUUUGUCCGAGCGGGAAACGGUUUGAUGAAACUGCGGCGGCGUCUGGAAGUCUGCGGAGAAACACGGUCACAAUCAUUUCUGUUUACUGUUGUUGCUGAUAGAAUUAUGAAUGAUAAAUGGUCUCGUACGUGGUUUGUUCGUGUCCGUCGCUGUGCCGUCUGCGGCCGCAGGAUGAAUCUGGUUGCCGAGGGUCUGCGAGAAGAGCGGCUGAGAAAAGAUUUAUUUGACCACAGUUACAUAUUCACCUGUUUCCACGUAUUAUUUAUGCAUCCUAUGACUUUCUUCAUGUAAGAAAUGAACUGUACCUGUGCAGCAGUGUGGAAAUCGAAGGCUUGCUGAGUCGCGUCCGAGCUCGCACGGAGCUCCACAGAGAAGUGCGGCUCUUCUACCACUGCAGGUUCAGAGAGUUUGUCUCAGUUCGGCGUGGUGUUUCAUUACGAAUGAAUUAAUAAUCAUCAAAACGUACGUGAUCUGAUCAUGUCCAUCAAAGAGGCCUCUGUGGCCGCAGGUCUCAUUUGGCUGAAGAGGUUUGGAGACGCUGGCACAUUCUGUAGGUGGAGGUGAUGAAUCCAUGUUCACUGUCACAUUAACAUUGGUUCUGUAACUUUUAUAAAUCAUAUCCAAAUUAUGAUUGUUUCAGAUUACUGUACCUGCUGGACCGGACGACUGACGUCACGCAGCUCCGACCCCAGCUCUCUCCAGCUGGACCAGUCUGUGUUUGCGUAAACAAUGUUCAACAAAAUUAUUAUUAUUAUUAUUAUUUUAUAUUACAUAAAACGUGACUGGAGGAGAUCUUUAAGAUUAAAGUUUGGAUUUUUCUCCUUUUGAAGCUAUAAAAAUACAAUAUACAAAUAGUCAUAUUCAGUAUUCUGGGGAAGAACUAGAUUUUGUCUCUGUCUGUAACUGUACAGUAGAAGUGAGGUCUUUAUCCUUUAUUUUCAUGCAGAUGCACCACGUUGACGCCAUGGUGACACCAUCGUUCCUACACAGUAUGGAAUUUGAUUUUAGUAAUUUCCAGGUCUGGUUAAGUUUGGAAAAAGGAAAAAUAUUUGUUUUUCCCGGCUGAAGUCUAAAAGAUUUCACAAAAACGAACGAUUUGUCUCCAUCUCUCUCAAUAAUCAUCUAGCUAUUUUUUUACUCUGAUUUUAAUAUGAAAUAUGGUCCGAGAAAAUCUACAGAGAAGUCUGGAAAAAAAUCUUGAAUUUUGAAAUGCAAAAUUUCCUGAUAGUACAGUGCAGCUCUCACCAGACGAGGUCAUCACAGGCUCCUGCAGGUUUAUUAAAGCAGGACUCAUGAAGGUGAUGUGAGGGGGCGGAGCCACCAGGCGCUCGCCCUCCGGGACCCUGGCCCCCCUCGGCGUGCAGCCCUUCUUCCCCUGGUGAAUCCUCAGGCCCUGGUAGCUCGUCACCUUGUUCCAGCCGCAGUGACACACCUGGAGGCUCAUGAUCGCUGUCUGAAGUAAAGAAAAGAAUUAUUAAUAUCUUCAGGAUUCUGGAGUUUGUCAACAGGAAGUGAAGUUGUGAGGAGUCGUGUCGCCCUCUAGUGGCCCAGAGAGCGUGUUACACUGCCCAGUAUCAUUGUGACCAUAGUUCAAAUAAAAUCAAGUGUUUCGAUCA